rnacentral:rRNA from 1 species
CUACGGGUGGCUCCAGGCGCGAAACCUUUACAAUGCACGCAAGUGUGAUAAGGGAACCCAAAGUGCUCAACUUUGUUGGGCUUUUGCCAAGAGUAAAUAUCUUGGAGAAUAAGUGGUGGGUAAGACUGGUGCCAGCCGCCGCGGUAACACCAGCGCCACAAGUGGCAAUCCGCUUUAUUUGGCCUAAAGCGUCCGUAGCUGGUUAAGUAAAUCUCUUGUGAAAUUGUUCAGCUUAACUGAACAGCGUGCAGGAGAGACUGCUUAACUAGGGACCGGGAGGAGUUAGAAGUAUGCAGUGGGGAGCGGUAAAAUGCUAUAAUCCUCUGUAGACUACCUGUGGCGAAGGCGUCUAACUAGAACGGGUCCGACAGUGAGGGACGAAAGCCAGGGGAGCAAACCGGAUUAAUACCCGGGUAGUC